rnacentral:rRNA from 1 species
AGAGUUUGAUCAUGGCUCAGGACGAACGCUGGCGGCGUGCCUAAUACAUGCAAGUCGAGCGGACUUGGAGGAAGCUUGCUUCCUCCCUGUUAGCGGCGGACGGGUGAGUAACACGUGGGCAACCUGCCUGUAAGACUGGGAUAACACCGGGAAACCGGUGCUAAUACCGGAUAAUCCUUUCCCUCUCAUGAGGGAAAGCUGAAAGUCGGUUUACGCUGACACUUACAGAUGGGCCCGCGGCGCAUUAGCUAGUUGGUGAGGUAACGGCUCACCAAGGCGACGAUGCGUAGCCGACCUGAGAGGGUGAUCGGCCACACUGGGACUGAGACACGGCCCAGACUCCUACGGGAGGCAGCAGUAGGGAAUCUUCCGCAAUGGACGAAAGUCUGACGGAGCAACGCCGCGUGAGCGAUGAAGGCCUUCGGGUCGUAAAGCUCUGUUGUUAGGGAAGAACAAGUACCGGAGUAACUGCCGGUACCUUGACGGUACCUAACCAGAAAGCCACGGCUAACUACGUGCCAGCAGCCGCGGUAAUACGUAGGUGGCAAGCGUUGUCCGGAAUUAUUGGGCGUAAAGCGCGCGCAGGCGGUCCUUUAAGUCUGAUGUGAAAGCCCACGGCUCAACCGUGGAGGGUCAUUGGAAACUGGGGGACUUGAGUACAGAAGAGGAAAGCGGAAUUCCACGUGUAGCGGUGAAAUGCGUAGAGAUGUGGAGGAACACCAGUGGCGAAGGCGGCUUUCUGGUCUGUAACUGACGCUGAGGCGCGAAAGCGUGGGGAGCAAACAGGAUUAGAUACCCUAGUAGUCC